rnacentral:rRNA from 1 species
CCCAAAAACUUUGAUUUCUCACAAGGUGCCAAUGGAGUCGCAAAUUGACAUCCACUGAUCCCUAGUCGGCAUAGUUUAUGGUUAAGACUACGACGGUAUCUGAUCGUCUUCGAUCCCCUAACUUUCGUUCUUGAUCAAUGAAAACAUCCUUGCCGAAUGCUUUCGCAGAAGUUUAUCUUUCGUAAAUCCAAGAAUUUCACCUCUGACAACGAAAUAUAAACGGCCCCAACUGUCCCUGUUAAUCAUUACUUCGGUCCCAUAAACCAACAAAUAAGACCAAAGUCCUAUUCCAUUAUUCCAUGCUAAUGUAUUCAAGCGUAGGCCUGCUUUGAACACUCUAAUUUUUUCAAAGUAAACGGCCUGCGUCCCACUACCCUACAGUUAAGUAGAGUAGGAUCCCCAGGCAGAAAGGCCCGGACAUGCCGUCCGACCGAAGGCCGACAGCCUCCCCGAGCCCGACAUCCGACUACGAGCUUUUUAACUGCAACAACUUUAAUAUACGCUAUUAGAGCUGGAAUUACCGCGGCUGCUGGCACCAGACUUGCCCUCUAAUUGAUCCUCGUAAAGAGAUUUAAAUUGUUCUCAUUCCAAUAACAAGACUGUAAGCCCUGUAUUGUUAUUUAUUGUCACUACCUCCCCGAGUCGGGAUUGGGUAAUUUGCGCGCCUGCUGCCUUCCUUGGAUGUGGUAGCCGUCUCUCAGGCUCCCUCUCCGGAAUCGAACCCUAAUUCUCCGUCACCCGUCAACACCAUGGUAGGCCACUACCCUACCAUCGAAAGUUGAUAGGGCAGAAAUUUGAAUGAUUUACCGCCGGCCAAAAUCAAAUAGCCAUGCGAUUUGGGAAGUUAUCAUGAUUCAUCCCGCCACGCCUUCUUUGAUAUAGAAGGCGAUUGGUUUUUGAUCUAAUAAAUCCCGCUGCCUUCUAGGGGUGUUUUGUUUCGCUCUUCUCUGAUGAAGAGUGAAACAAAACACCGCUCUGAAAACGCAGCGAUGGUGCAUGUAUUAGCUCUAGAAUUCCUACGGUUAUCCACGUAGCGCCGCAUGAUCAAAUAAACUAUAACUGUUGUAAUGAGCCAUUCGCAGUUUCACGGUACAAAAUCGUUCGUACUGAGACAUGCAUGGCUUAAUCCUUAAGACAAGCAUAUGACUACUGGCAGGAUCAACCAGGUAUCUACCAUCCAACAGCGCGGGCCGCUUUCUUCUCUUUCUUAUAUAUAAUUUUUCUAUGGAAGAAAACCAAGAGAUCCGCCCAUGCGCCUUUCCGUCUUGCGAAGAGGAAGAAAAAAAAAAAAAUUCAGAACCAACAGGCCAAACCUUGUUUUUUUAUUUUCGCUCACCAAAAAACCGUCAGAGUUUCCCCCGACGACCAUCUCUAUUCAUGUUCAAAGAAGGGAGGGGAUUUUCCAUUGCUUUGCAGAUGAUAACACUAUCUUCCUUUUGCCACUUUGGCUUUGUUUAUGUUUCAAAGAUUCCUUGACGUCCCGGCCGGAGCAAAGAAAACGAAAUUCUCCUUUCCGUUUUCUCUCUUCCCACGACCGCCCCAAGGAGGGCAUUACCAACGAGUAUCAGACCAGAAGUCCCAAGAUGGUAUAGUGUCUACAGAUGUUCUCCCUUGUCGUUAGAAUCUACAGAUACUAUACCUACCCUAGUGAAUCCUCCUAGCCUUUAGAAUUGUCUUCUUUAUGUUAUCUUUCUCUUUCCUGAAAAAGAGAAAAAUACAUAAAGAUAAUUCAUACGCUUUUUUUUUUUACAUAUCUAUAAAAAAAAAAAAAGAAUUAAACACCGUCCCCCCACCUUUUGAUCUUGGAAAAUCAAAGAAGGCAGGUCGAUGUUUUCUAACAAGCAUCACUCACUUCCCGUGCAAGACUAGUAAGUCAAGUCUUCGCAUUCCAAUCGACACACCAGGAAUCCAAGAAAAUGGAAAAAUACCAAACCAUUUCUUGACAAAUCAGCACUCUCUCCUAUGCCCCUGUAAUUCCUACAGGACCAAGAGCAUCCAACGCAAUCUUAAGGUCUCUUCAUUCUCCAAUUCUCCUCGUCUUAAAAUUUUUGAGAAAAAAAAAAAAAAAAAAAAAGACAAGAGAACCGGAGAAGACAUCACUUCUGACGCCUAAAAGCGCAAUGAAGUGAGAAGUAAGGCCUCUUAAAAAAAUAAAAAUUAAGGAGAGAAGCUAAAAUAUACUCUCUCUCCAUCCACCCACCCAUCACAUUUACUCCUCUUUGGUUUUUUUUCCUUCAUAAAUAACCGAAAACAUUUUUAACCUCAC